rnacentral:rRNA from 1 species
UACGUAGGGUCCAAGCGUUGUCCGGAUUUAUUGGGCGUAAAGAGCUCGUAGGCGGCUCAGUAAGUCGGAUGUGAAAACUCGGGGCUCAACCCCGAGACGCCAUCCGAUACUGCUGUGGCUUGAGUCUGGUAGGGGAACACGGAAUUCCUGGUGUAGCGGUGAAAUGCGCAGAUAUCAGGAGGAACACCGGUGGCGAAGGCGGGUCUCUGGGCCGAUAUCGACGCUGAGGAGCGAAAGCGUGGGGGAGCGAACAGG